rnacentral:rRNA from 1 species
UACGGGGGGGGCAAGCGUUGUUCGGAAUUACUGGGCGUAAAGCGCGCGUAGGCGGCUUUGUAAGUUAGAGGUGAAAGCCCGGGGCUCAACCCCGGAACUGCCUUUAAGACUGCAUCGCUUGAAUCCGGGAGAGGUGAGUGGAAUUCCGAGUGUAGAGGUGAAAUUCGUAGAUAUUCGGAAGAACACCAGUGGCGAAGGCGGCUCACUGGACCGGUAUUGACGCUGAUGUGCGAAAGCGUGGGGAGCAAACAGG